rnacentral:rRNA from 1 species
AGAAUCAACGCUGGCGGCGUGCCUAACACAUGCAAGUCGAACGAGAAAGUCCCGCAAGGGAUGAGUAAAGUGGCGUACGGGUGAGUAACACGUAGCUAACCUACCCUCGAGUGGGGAAUAACCUGGGGAAACUCGGGCUAAUACCCCAUAACAUCCGGGAUGCAUAAGUAAUCCGGAGCAAGGGCCCGCAAGGGUCGCUUGAGGAGGGGGCUGCGGCCGAUUAGCUAGUUGGUGAGGUAAUGGCCCACCAAGGCAAUGAUCGGUA